AACGCUGGCGGCAUGCCUAACACAUGCAAGUCGAACGGCAGCACAGCAGUAGCAAUACUGUGGGUGGCGAGUGGCGGACGGGUGAGGAAUACAUCGGAAUUUGCCCUGUCGUGGGGGAUAACGUAGGGAAACUUACGCUAAUACCGCAUACGACCUAACGGUGAAAGCGGGGGAUCGCAAGACCUCGCGCGGCUGGAGAAGCCGAUGUCAGAUUAGCUAGUUGGCGGGGUAAAGGCCCACCAAGGCGACGAUCUGUAGCUGGUCUGAGAGGAUGAUCAGCCACACUGGGACUGAGACACGGCCCAGACUCCUACGGGAGGCAGCAGUGGGGAAUAUUGGACAAUGGGCGCAAGCCUGAUCCAGCAAUGCCGCGUGUGUGAAGAAGGCCUUCGGGUUGUAAAGCACUUUUAUCAGGAGCGAAAUCUGCAGGGCUAAUACCCAUGCAGUCUGACGGUACCUGAGGAAUAAGCACCGGCUAACUUCGUGCCAGCAGCCGCGGUA
rnacentral:rRNA from 1 species